CCUACGGGAGGCUGCAGUGGGGAAUAUUGGACAAUGGGGGGAACCCUGAUCCAGCCAUGCCGCGUGUGUGAAGAAGGCCCUCGGGUUGUAAAGCACUUUCAGUGAGGAAGAACGCCUGGUGGUUAAUACCCAUCAGGAAAGACAUCACUCACAGAAGAAGCACCGGCUAACUCCGUGCCAGCAGCCGCGGUAAUACGGAGGGUGCGAGCGUUAAUCGGAAUUACUGGGCGUAAAGCGCGCGUAGGUGGCUUGAUAAGCCGGUUGUGAAAGCCCCAGGCUCAACCUGGGAACGGCAUCCGGAACUGUCAAGCUAGAGUGCAGGAGAGGAAGGUAGAAUUCCCGGUGUAGCGGUGAAAUGCGUAGAGAUCGGGAGGAAUACCAGUGGCGAAGGCGGCCUUCUGGACUGACACUGACACUGAGGUGCGAAAGCGUGGGUAGCAAACAGGAUUAGAUACCCUAGUAGUC
rnacentral:rRNA from 1 species